AUGAGAUACCUGGUGUCGGCGUCCGCGGCCGCGCUGGUCCUGGCCGCCGUCCUCGCCGCCGCGCCGCGGCUCGCGGGGGCCAAGGACGAGUGCGGCGCCACCCCGCCGGACCAGGAGGCCCUGAAGCUGGUGCCGUGCGUGGCGGCGGGGAAGGACCCGGACUCCAAGCCUUCGGACCGCUGCUGCGCGGCGGUGAAGGAGAUCGGGGAGAGGAGCCCCGCGUGCCUCUGCGCGGUGCUGCUCUCCAAGAUCGUGCGUCGGGUCGGGGUCAAGCCCGAGGUGGCCAUCACCAUCCCCAAGCGCUGCGACCUGACCGACCGCCCCAUCGGCUACAAGUGCGGCGGUACGUUACGUACUGUUUGA
rnacentral:rRNA from 1 species